GACGAACGCUGGCGGCGUGCCUAAUACAUGCAAGUAGAACGCUGAAGGAAGGAGCUUGCUCUUUCUGGAUGAGUUGCGAACGGGUGAGUAACGCGUAGGUAACCUGCCUGGUAGCGGGGGAUAACUAUUGGAAACGAUAGCUAAUACCGCAUAAAAUUGAUUAUUGCAUGAUAGUCAAUUAAAAGGUGCAACUGCACCACUACCAGAUGGACCUGCGUUGUAUUAGCUAGUUGGUGGGGUAACGGCUCACCAAGGCGACGAUACAUAGCCGACCUGAGAGGGUGAUCGGCCACCCUGGGACUGAGACACGGCCCAGACUCCUACGGGAGGCAGCAGUAGGGAAUCUUCGGCAAUGGACGGAAGUCUGACCGAGCAACGCCGCGUGAGUGAAGAAGGUUUUCGGAUCGUAAAGCUCUGUUGUAAGAGAAGAACGAGUGUGAGAGUGGAAAGUUCACACUGUGACGGUAUCUUACCAGAAAGGGACGGCUAACUACGUG
rnacentral:rRNA from 1 species